UCACUCAAGCCUGGGAAGAAGCAUGGUCACUGCUGCAGCUUUGAGAGGCAAAGCCAGGGCAUGAGGAGGCGGAACACGGCACAGACUGCACAGCUCAGAACUCCACCAACAUCAGCUCUGGCAUCCACAGGCCGCCUUGGGGGCAUGUGAGCACUUGCUCACUGGCAGAGAGACCUGCACUGCUGGCACUUUCCCACUUUCCCCAGAGCGACAGAUGAGGGAAAGGAGUCCCAGAGAAGUUAAGUAACUUCCAACUUGGUGAAAAACGUCAGAGAUCAGUACUCAGCCAAAGGAAAAGCAAAGGAGACCGAUUCAUGAUUCUGCCUUGAAGCUGCAGCCCUCCAGCUGGUGGACUGAAGCCCUAGUGAUCCUCAUAGAAGAAAGGAAGGCAAAGAAGAGAACAGCGGGAAGGAUGCGGAGAGGGAGAGACACA